UACGGGGGGAGCAAGCGUUGUUCGGAUUUACUGGGCGUAAAGGGCGCGUAGGCGGCCACUGCAAGUCAGUUGUGAAAUCUCCGGGCUUAACCCGGAAAGGUCAACUGAUACUGCAGGGCUAGAGUGCAGAAGGGGCAACUGGAAUUCUCGGUGUAGCGGUGAAAUGCGUAGAUAUCGGAAGGAACACCUGUGGCGAAAGCGGCUCACUGGACCAUAACUGACGCUGAUGCACGAAAGCUAGGGGAGCAAACAGG
rnacentral:rRNA from 1 species